rnacentral:rRNA from 1 species
CAGCAGCCGCGGGAAUACGUAGGUGGCAAGCGUUGUCCGGAAUUAUUGGGCGUAAAGGGCUCGCAGGCGGUUUCUUAAGUCUGAUGUGAAAGCCCCCGGCUCAACCGGGGAGGGUCAUUGGAAACUGGGAAACUUGAGUGCAGAAGAGGAGAGUGGAAUUCCACGUGUAGCGGUGGAAUGCGUAGAGAUGUGGAGGAACACCAGUGGCGAAGGCGACUCUCUGGUCUGUAACUGACGCUGAGGAGCGAAAGCGUGGGGAGCGAACAGGAUUAGAGACCCCCGUAGUCCCUGUCUCUUAUAC